rnacentral:rRNA from 1 species
CCUACGGGAGGCUGCAGUGGGGAAUAUUGGACAAUGGGCGAAAGCCUGAUCCAGCCAUGCCGCGUGUGUGAAGCAGGCCUUCGGGUUGUAAAGCACUUUCAGUGGGGAAGAAAGCCUUGGGGCUAAUACCCUCGAGGAAGGACAUCACCCACAGAAGAAGCACCGGCUAACUCCGUGCCAGCAGCCGCGGUAAUACGGAGGGUGCGAGCGUUAAUCGGAAUUACUGGGCGUAAAGCGCGCGUAGGCGGUCUGAUAAGCCGGUUGUGAAAGCCCCGGGCUCAACCUGGGAACGGCAUCCGGAACUGUCAGGCUAGAGUGCAGGAGAGGAAGGUAGAAUUCCCGGUGUAGCGGUGAAAUGCGUAGAGAUCGGGAGGAAUACCAGUGGCGAAGGCGGCCUUCUGGACUGACACUGACGCUGAGGUGCGAAAGCGUGGGUAGCAAACAGGAUUAGAUACCCGGGUAGUC